GGACAAGUGGCUGAGUGGCCUAAGGCGCCAGUUUUGAAAACUGGAGUACCGUGGUACCGUGGGUUCGAAUCCCACCUUGUCCU
rnacentral:tRNA from 1 species